rnacentral:lncRNA from 1 species
GAUAGUCUGUCAGACAACCGCAUGAUCAUCCCCAUCCAAAUCUAUGUUUGGGGAACGAUCCUCUACAACCAUGAUGAUCACGAGGAUCAACAAGCCAUUACUCACGCUAUGAUCACACGGUCAUGAUUCCUCAACCAGACUUAGGUUCCUGUCUCCUUAGUGUUAAAGGAUACAGAGGUACGAUCCUAUAGAACAGAUCCUGUUCAAGUAAGGUCGUGGCUGUUCCUGUUCCUCCACGCUUUAUUAGUUACUUUACUUCUUCGUUUGUUUCCGAUGUGGGAUCCUGGUUAAUGCUUCGUUCCAGGGUAUAUUUGUCCAGAAGAAGAAAGUUUGCGCGCCUUGUGCUUCUCAAAGUCCUGAUAAAAUCCAGAGGAGAGUGCAGUGAAAGUACUAGGAUACCCCCUGAGCUGCUGCGUUGUUAUUGCGGUAGUAUUUGUUAAUUUUAUACGGACAACAACUAGGAGGCUUCUUGGGAGUGUAAUAGUCAAGAGUUUGAAGCUUUUACAGGUUUUCCAUUACACUUUAUGCUUGGCAGUAGCCAUACUGAUGACAUUAGAGUUGUGCCCUAUUUGCAGAAUUAGAUCUUGAAUUGGCCAAAAUUUGUCACGAACUUUUUUGAACAAAUUAGAUUGUCUUCGAUUGUGACCAUUGAGCUAUUGGCCAUUGGAUAUGUACUCCUUAAGCAGCUGUGAGCUGAGCCUGGUAAGUUAACUUCGUACUGAAGAACAGAUAAAAGAAAGUGCGUAUGGAUUUUGCAGCGUCUUUGCCACAAGAAACAUUGGACUUCAUUAAGGUGUUAGUCAGUGAUGAUGAAUGGUAACUACAGACACAAGAGUUUAGCGUCUGUGCAUAUAUCCAUUGUCUUGUGUCUAUCUAACCAGGAGGGGAACCCUGCAAAACUUCUUUACACGUCAGUCAAGGCCUUCGUCUGCCCUAACAUACUUCUUUCCAAAGUGUUUUCUUGGUUCCAUGAGUGUGGGGAUGGUGAGGCAAGCAAUGGCCAGAACUGAUUCCCCCAUUCUUGUACUUUCCUACCAACCAUCUUUGAAUUUUGCCUCAAACCUUGUUCACUGCCUUCAAGUAGUUGCUUGAUUCAUGGUCUCUUGGAAUUGUACCUUCGGAGCCGUAGGCCGUGGGAUCGCUAAGAGUUUCCAGUGGACGGGGACAAUUCAGGAACGGCACUUGCAGAGAACCCAUGAUGGGUUUUAUCAAAAGGGUGUGACUGGAAGGAGCCAUCAAAUUGCUUGAGGACUAUAUAUCUCUACACAAAAGACGUGUCGGGCUGAGCAUUGAGAUCUUGAAAAUCAUCGGGAUUAGUUGGCUCUCGUGUUCUCUGGAUCCUUGAUGGAACUGGGGCUAGGAAAGCUAAAAAAAAAAAAUUAGUCUGUCAGACAACCGCAUGACCAUCCCAAGCCAGAACAUGACCGGGGAACGAUCCUCUACAGCCAUGAUGAUCACGAGAAUCAUCAAACCAUUACUCACGCUAUGAUCACACGGUCAUGAUUCCUCAACCAGACUUAGGUUCCUGUCUCCUUAGUGUUAAAGGAUACAGAGGUACGAUCCUAUAGAACAGAUCCUGUUCAAGUAAGGUCGUGACUCGCCUAGUUCCUCCACUACUUUAUUAAUUUGGUUACUGAUUAGUUUGUUGCCGAUGUGGGAUGUUUGUCAAUGCUUCGUUCCAGGGUAUUUCUGUCCAGAAGAAGAAAGUUUGCGCGCCCUGUGCUUCUCAAGGUAUUGAAAAAAUAAAAAAAAAUUGUAAGGUGAAUAUUGUGACUGUGGUCAUCUCGCACACCAUUACAUGUGAACAGUAUAUAAAAAUUGUAAGGUAAAUUAAACUAACAUAAUACUAAGCGGAGUUUCUAAAUAUUUUUUAUUUAUUUUAAAUAUUUA